UUCGCUCAGGUGGUUGGCAACGACCAAGACGGAGACCGCAAAGGACCAAUCAACGUCAAAGGCAAUCUCGCCUCCCAGCCCUCUCCCUCCCCUGGGGAAAUCACAGAUGCGAGGGGCGGGGCGUAGCCCUUGGCUAUGGUCACGUGACUGUGGCUCCGGCUACCAUCUUUGCAAUGGGCAGAAAGCUAUUCACCAGUAGGACUGAAGCUAUGAAGGAGGCCAUUUUGGAAGUAGGAGGCAAGCUCUGAGCCAAUAGACCUGAAGCUAUCAAGGGUCAACAUAGGGACGAUGCACUGAACGGGCUUCAGAGAAUAAAUGUGCUGGCAGAGGAACUGGCGAUGCAUGAAAGAGGCUUGCAGUUGUAAUGGAGAGAUUUUCUGGCUACACUACAAAUCUGAACCUUCAAGACAUUAGUCUUCUGUUUCUCCCUGAACACCACAAAUCUGUAUAACCAUCUAACCAAACAGAACCUCCACCAGCCGAGCAGAUAUGUGACACUUAAGGACAGCACUACCCAGCCUGAUCCACAUGUCACGUCUUGAUUUGGUUCAUGUGGCAGCUCAAGAGACUCACUGCAAGAUUGUGCCCAGGAGUUUGCCCUAUUUUCAUCUAAACCCCACUGCAGCUGAGGGUAAUACCAGCUAAUUUCAACCAAUAGAACCUUAUUUAUCUAACCUGCUCCUUUGGGUUUAAUCAAACAUUAGCAUUUACAGACAUGUGAGGGGGUCUCCAGCUAUUUUUGGCUAACCGGGAUUCUAGUGUAUCACCUUACUGUCCUGAAUAACAAAGAAGGGAGCUACCUGAUGUGGAACACACAAGAGGAAUCCAGAGUCAAAAUCUUCAGCCAGCUGUGAACUAAUUCAUCCAUCUUUAUUUUAUGCAGAAAAGCUCAGCUCAGGUUCAGCACAUGGUUAAUGUUCCUGCUUUGUUACCAAUGUUCUGUGUUAAAUUAAAGCACAAAGUCAGGUUUUUUGAUCAAGGUCAGACACUGCCUUACUCAAGUUUGCUCUAACUACUAGAAAGCAUCAGCUCCUAGAGCAAUGGAGAAGCGGAGCAUGUAUGGGGUCUUCUGGCUUUACAGUGAAACCAAUGGCAGCACGUCAAGGCUGAAGAGAAUUCCUGAGAUGUGUGAAGAGCUGGCUGGUAAUGCCAGUUCAUGUUCCUUUUUCAUCCCUGUCCUGAUUCUGUGAGCCCUGCUUGCAGACAUCAAGUGAAACUGACAGAUUUUUCUGUCUUAACAACAAUGCUUAUUUCUGAUUCUCUGUGUUCUGAGGGUAAAGUAAAUGAUUGGAUGGAAAACAACCAAAAAACCCUCACCGUGAAGUAUUGAACGUCUCAAGCUUUGGAAAUACAAUCAGGACUUGCAUUUUAUUUAUUUUGUUAAAUGUGCAGUCUUAAAAUGUUAAGCCCAUUAUGAUGGUGUCCUCGCUCCCCUCCCUCACAUUCUUCAGAGCAUCUUGCUUUGCAGUGGGAAGGCAGGCAGGCUUUUGGAAUUAGUUCUGGGCUUGUUAUGCAAAAAAAAAUC